rnacentral:rRNA from 1 species
CGGAUGGGCCAUGCGGCGCAUUAGCUAGUCGGCGGGGUAACGGCCCACCGAGGCGACGAUGCGUAGGGGUUCUGAGAGGAAGGUCCCCCACACUGGUACUGAGACACGGACCAGACUCCUACGGAAGGCAGCAG